GAUGAACGCUGGCGGCGUGCCUAAUACAUGCAAGUCGAGCGAACAGACGAGGAGCUUUCUCCUCUGACGUUAGCGGCGGACGGGUGAGUAACACGUGGAUAACCUACCUAUAAGACUGGGAUAACUUCGUGAAACCGGAGCUAAUACCGGAUAAUAUAUUGAACCGCAUGGUUCAAUAGUGAAAGACGGUUUUGCUGUCACUUAUAGAUGGAUCCGCGCCGCAUUAGCUAGUUGGUAAGGUAACGGCUUACCAAGGCAACGAUGCGUAGCCGACCUGAGAGGGUGAUCGGCCACACUGGAACUGAGACACGGUCCAGACUCCUACGGGAGGCAGCAGUAGGGAAUCUUCCGCAAUGGGCGAAAGCCUGACGGAGCAACGCCGCGUGAGUGAUGAAGGUCUUCGGAUCGUAAAACGCUGUUAUUAGGGAAGAACAAAUGUGUAAGUAACUAUGCACGUCUUGACGGUACCUAAUCAGAAAGCCACGGCUAACUACGUG
rnacentral:rRNA from 1 species